AAAGGUAGUGCCUUUACGACACUUUAAAGCUCAAGGGGGGAGUAUUUCUCAUUAAUCAUGGUUCAUUAACCACCAGUUUAUCUAAGUCGUGUCUACCUUUUUAUUGAAGGGAAAUAAAACAGAUAUAAAAACAAAAACAACGGAACCUGUGGGUUUCCUCCCACACAACACUUCAUUUAUAUGUUGGUAGCUCAACUCAGUUUUAAUAACCCUCUAA
rnacentral:lncRNA from 1 species